GCUUAGGCAGAAGGACCUAAAUGUAAAUGUCCUUUUGGAAGUCACAACAUGCAAGAAGGCUCAUUCAUAUAAACACCAAGAUGAAUGUAAUACACAAAAAGAAAAAACACCCUUGAUAGACUGUCUUGUCUGUAUGAUGAAAAGUGGUAACGAACUGGUUCACUGUGUCAAGAAGAUAGAAGUCAAUAAUAGAGAGCACAAAGAAAUUCGAAAUAACUGUACGAAUCAUCAUCACAUUGGAGGAUCAAUCAUAAUGGGAUCAUCAAUGCCAAAUAUCAAUAAGCUUGGAUGUCUUGGAUGUAACAGGAAGAAAAAUUAACUAUAUACAUAUACUGUACAUGUAACUACAUACUAUAGUUAUGGAUA